AGGCCACCAAUCAAGGGUAGCGCAGAUGAAAUUGUCAUCAGUUUCAGCAACCGUCAGAGUGCCAUCAACCACAAUUGUACCAUAUUUAACAUCUUGAGCGAAAAUGAUAGGGAUAGUAGCCAAAAAGAAAAGAAAUGACAGGCAGAAUCCCAUGGACUGAUUAAUUAGACUACGCUCACCACCACCCCAACUUAUUCAGAUGAACUGCAACUGAAAUGCAUAGAAGAAUAAAGUUUAGUUAUGAUUGAAAGUUGAAACUGACAUUAAAUUUAGAUAUUUACAGAAUCCCAAAAAGGGGAAUGGGGGAACGUAAGGACCAAAACUAAUUAUGAAAUUCCACAAUGUUCAGGUUUAGAUUGGAGAAAGAGGGUAAUUUUCAGUGUGCAGAAAAUCAUUGUUUAUAUUGAAAUUUACAUAGCUGGACAGGCAGGAAGUCCUACUGCCAUUGAAGUUUAGCCAAAUUUCAGUUUGAAGAAAGUCACAAGUUCAUCAAUUGAGAACAAAAGGACAUCUAGAGAAGGAAAGAUGAACAGAAACAGAAACAGGAAAGAUUUAAGAAAGAAGUUGAAAAGCGAUGUACGCUAAUUGCCAUAACAGAUCAUAUCGUUUCUCCUGUCCAUUACAGAUGCCAAGAAUGAAAUGAUAGUGCCAUUAACUUCAAUAAUUGGCAGAGUUUUACCCAAUCUAAAAUAAAGAAAACUAAAGAUCUAAACGAAAAUCAAUAAUAAAGCAGCAUUCUUGAAAAAUAGUAAUCAUUUACAGAACAAACAUCAAUGACCAAAUCUAAGCUGCCUUCACAUCAUUCAACAAAAGCAAGAAGA
rnacentral:misc_RNA from 1 species